rnacentral:rRNA from 1 species
UUCCGUAGGUGAACCUGCGGAAGGAUCAUUAAUGAAACUUCAAAGUCGGCCAAAGGUUGUUGCUGGUGAUUAUUCACAUGUGCACGCCUUUGGUCGCAAAUCCACACACACCUGUGCAUCUAUGACUCGAGGUUGUAAUGACUGAGAGUAACUUUUAUACACUCUUGUAUGUAAUGGAAUGUCUUUUUGUGCUAUAAUGUACAAUAUAAACAACUUUCAACAACGGAUCUCUUGGCUCUCGCAUCGAUGAAGAACGCAGCGAAAUGCGAUAAGUAAUGUGAAUUGCAGAAUUCAGUGAAUCAUCGAAUCUUUGAACGCACCUUGCACCCUUUGGUAUUCCGAAGGGUACGCCCGUUUGAGUGUCAUUGUAAUCUCACUUCUACAACUUUAUUGUUGUUUGAAUGUGGACUUGGAUGUUGCCGUUUUAUCACGGCUCGUCUUAAAUGCCUGAGUGUACCCUGUUUUGCAGCGUAUCCAGUGUAAUAAACAUUUCACUAGAGUUGGUUGAAAGACCACGUUGACUAUAUGGGCUCUAUGCUUCAAACCGUCUGCCAUGUGGACAAUUUCUUGACAAUUUGACCUCAAAUCGGGUGGGACUACCCGCUGAACUUAAGCAUAUCAAUAAGCGGAGGAAAAGAAACUAACAAGGAUUCCCCUAGUAACGGCGAGUGAAGAGGGAAAAGCUCAAAUUUUAAAUCUGGUGUCUUUGACUCCCGAGUUGUAAUCUAGAGAAGUGUUUUCCGUGUCGGACCGUGUACAAGUUCCCUGGAACGGGGCGUCAUAGAGGGUGAGAAUCCCGUAUAUGCCACGGACUACCGAUGCUCUGUGAUACACUCUCAACGAGUCGAGUUGUUUGGGAAUGCAGCUCAAAAUGGGUGGUAAAUUCCAUCUAAAGCUAAAUAUUGGYGAGAGACCGAUAGCGAACAAGUACCGUGAGGGAAAGAUGAAAAGCACUUUGGAAAGAGAGUGAAACAGUACGUGAAAUUGUUGAAAGGGAAGCGUUUGAAGUCAGUCGCAUCUGUUGGGGUUCAGCCUGGCUUUUGCCUGGUGUAUUUCCUUUCCGAUGGGUCAGCAUCAGUUUCGACCGAGGGAAAAAGACAUUUGGAAUGUGGCUGUCUUCGGGCAGUGUUAUAGCCUUGUGUUGUAUGUCUCGGUUGGGACUGAGGAUUGCAGCGCGCCAUAAAUGGCCGGGGGUCGCUCCUCUCGACACGCGCUUAGGAUGCUGGCAUAAUGGCUUUAAGCGACCCGUCUU